rnacentral:sRNA from 12 species
AUGAGGUUGUGCCCAUGCAUCGAAGAUGCAUAUGGAAUGGCACAACCGACUUGCCGCCGAACGAAUGUGAGGGGGCGAUACCAACA